CGGAGGGUGCAAGCGUUAUCCGGAUUUACUGGGUUUAAAGGGUGUGUAGGCGGGCUAUUAAGUCAGUGGUGAAAUCUCCGAGCUCAACUUGGAAACUGCCAUUGAUACUAUUAGUCUUGAAUUUUGUUGAGGUAGGCGGAAUAAGUCAUGUAGCGGUGAAAUGCUUAGAUAUGACUUAGAACACCAAUUGCGAAGGCAGCUUGCUAAACAAACAUUGACGCUGAGGCACGAAAGCGUGGGGAUCAAACAGGAUUAGAUACCCUGGUAGUCCACGCCCUAAACGAUGAUUACUCGACAUACGCGAUUCACAGUGUGUGUCUGAGCGAAAGCAUUAAGUAAUCCACCUGGGAAGUACGACCGCAAGGUUG
rnacentral:rRNA from 1 species